UUGACCAAACCUUUAUACAUGGCAUAACUCAAAGUCUAUUCACUAAACAUGAUUAAGAAAAGAGGAUAGGAUCUUAGUUCUCAUCCAGGUCGUACUCGGACCAUCAUCGAGGUUCUCCUCCAGACACUCCUCUUCGGUUUCUUUCUCCUCAGGCUCCUCAUCAGGGUCCUGAAAUGUUGUCCCACAACCGGGAUGAGACUAUGUCUCAGCAAGUUCUACCCCACUAAGACUCGAUUAGGAAACCAAUAUGCUAACCGGGCUGCCUAUACACGCACGGGUCAGAGGACUUACCUUGGCCUCAUAUUCCACCUGCAUAUUAGCACAAUUCAAUAGGCACCAAAGCAAUUACAUCACAGAUCAAUAUCUCGAUCCAUCGACCUAGUCGAUUUCAUGUCAAUUCGACUAUUCCCCAGUCGUUUCCCUUAUUCAGUCUCAAAUCAUACCCAUGACUUCACGAGCAUAGUCUACCAAAUUUCUUGGCAACAAAUUACAGUCCCAAAGAACACGACCUAUCUUUAGGUAGCAUAUUACGGCCUUAUCAGGCGCGACCUUUAAUGGUGGCAAAUUAUGGCCUUAUCAGGCGCGACCUUUAAUGGUGGCAGAUUACGGCCUUAUCAGGCGCGACCCAUAUCGGGUGGCAGAUUACGGCCUUAUCAGGCGCGACCCAUAUUAGGUGGCAGAUUACGGCCCAACGGGCGCGACCCAUAUUAGGUGGCAAUUUACGGCCCAACGGGUGCGACCGAUUCCAAAUUCAGUGGCAGAACUCGGCCAUACUCACAACCUUUCACAGUCAAAUUCUAAUUGAAUACCGACACUGAUCGAUUUUGGGAUAAUUCCUCAAAUUGCACAAUUAAUUCAAUUUAGCACAAUGUAGAGCUCAAAUAAAUAAACGGACUGCACCAUGACAAUCAGCACCAAAUUUCGAUCGUCGGCUAUCAUCGCCUAAUUUCCGAAAAAUAAAUAAUUAAAUAAUUAAUUUCGAAAUUAAUAAUUAAAUACUAAAUAUCCAAUUUAGGCCCGUAAUGCCUAACUGAAGCCCAAUAAGGGUCGGGAAAAAUCCCGAGAUGCAUUCAAUAAAUAAUAGUACGUCUCUACUUGCUAAUGACUAAGUCUAACCACCUAACAUGCAUCACUAAGUCACUAAUUUAUUUUUUCUAAACUAAUCUAACCACCUAAUUGCACUUAAUUAAAUCUAAUCAACCCUUAAGCAUCAUUAAUUUACUAAGCGAGGAUUAGUGAGAUUACUCACUUGAUUAAAAGCGGAGACCGGGACACCGCGACGGUUACGCGACGGCGGCCGAAAUCGGACUUUCGACAACACCGGCGGGCUUGGACCGGGCCUUAAACUUGGCCCAACAAAUCUCAGCCCAACUAAGAUUUGUUCUCGUACUGGACUGGGCUCGCUCUUGGACUUGGGCUUGGCUGCGAUUGGGCCUGAUCUGGGCUUCAAGAUGGGCUGGCUUUGCGGGCUUCAAAACCACGCUGGACUCCUUGGGGCUGAAAUAAAACUGAACUGGGCCUGUCUUUGCUGGGCCCAAAAGAAAUUCACUGAGCUUGGAGACUGCUGGACUUGCAUUGGGCCAUUGAUGCGGCUGAUCGAGGCCUAGGAUUGAUGGGCUUCGAAGACUAAAUCCCUAUGGGCUCAAAAUGCGAACUGCGAGGGAAAUGGACGCAGGCUUCUUCGGUCCUCGUGGCAGCUCGACGGAUGAUGCUUCGUUUGCUUGAUUCGCUGACUCGGUGAAUUCCACACGGUUAGAUGAAGGCCGCGAGCUGGGUAGACCGAAGCUGAGAAAGACGCAUGGAUGCUUGGACGGCAGAGCUGGCGUGCGGUCAACGACGAAGGAGUUCGCUGGUGUCAAGCUGCGGGCUCUGCUGCUGCUUCGGUUGACUGCUUGGACGCGUGGGCGAGGGCAUCAAGCGGUCAACCAAGAGCUUCAAUUGAAGCUGUUGUUGACCGAACCAGGCGUACACACUGCCAAGUGGCAGCAAGCUCGGCAGAAGAUGGAGCUGGUGUCGUUGCUUGCGGAGAAGACCGUUCGGUGGAUGGGCAGAUGUUGAUGGAGAUGAUGAUGCUGUGCGACUUCGGUGAGUGGGGGGCUUCGUGGAGUCAACACCUGGGGCAGCUUGACGAAUUUUAUUGAAGAUUGACCAAGGAAAAUUUAUGGAGCAGCAGGUGGUGGAAGAAACCAGCGAAAAUGGAGUGGCAGGUUCGGUCUUCGGCAGAGACGGAAGGAGCUGACUGCUAAGGAAAUAAAAGAACGGCCGCAGGGAAAUUUGUAAGUGCUGAUUUCGUCCAGAGAAGAGGAGACCGACGUGCGAAUGAAGAUGGGAUCCGUUUAGCG
rnacentral:lncRNA from 1 species